AGGCGUGAGGUGCAGAUGGUAGCACGCUUCCCUGUCACGGAAGAGGUUGCGGGUUCAACUCCCGUGGCGCCUG
rnacentral:tRNA from 1 species